rnacentral:rRNA from 1 species
GACGAACGCUGGCGGCGUGCUUAACACAUGCAAGUCGAACGAAGUGGCGAACGGGUGAGUAAUACGUGGGUAACCUGCCCUCCUUUUUGGGAUAAGCCUUGGAAACGGGGUCUAAUACCGAAUAAAGGGGGAUGGGCUCGCGGCCUAUGAGCUUGUUGGUGGGGUGCUGGCCUACCAAGGAGGUGACGGGUAGGCGGCCGGUGAGGGUGACCGGCAAUAUUGGGCCGGCGAUACUGCCCAGAGUGCUACGGGAGGCAGCAGUGGGGGAUAUUGCGCAAUGGGCGCAGACCUGAUGCACGUACGCCGCGUGGGGUAUGAAGGCUUUCGGGUUGGAAACCUCUUUCGCUAUCGAACCGGUAGGUAGCGAAGAAGCGCCGGCUAACUACGUGCCAGCAGCCGCGGUAAUUC